AAAUGACAGAAAAAGUACUUUUUUUUCCGUUAAUAGGCAGUAUUUUUUUAACUUUCAGAGCUAUAUAAAUAAA